rnacentral:rRNA from 1 species
AGAGUUGAUCCCUGGCUCAGAACGAACGCUGGCGGCAGGCCUCAAACAUGCAAGUCUAGCGGGCGUUAGCAAAUACGUCAGCGGCGGACGGGGUGCGGUAACACGUGGGAACGUACCCUUUGGGUUCGGAACAACUCAGGGGAAACUUGAGCUAAUACCGAAUGUGCCCGAAAGGGGAAGAAAGAUUUAUCCCCCAAGGAUCUCGCCCCCGCUUCGCAUAUAACCCUGGUUGGGUUGGGGUUAAUUGGCCCCCCCCAAGGCCAAACAAAUCCAAUAGCCGGGUUCUGAAAAGGAACAAUCAGCCCACACUGGGACUGAGACACGGCCAGACUCUACGGGAGGCGCGUGGGAAUCUGGACAUGGGGAACCCUGAUCAGCCUGCCGCGUGAGUGAUGAAGGCGUAAGGUUGUAAACUCUUUCGGCGGGGACCAUUAUUACCG